GAUGAACGCUGGCGGCGUGCCUAAUACAUGCAAGUCGAGCGAACAGAUGAGGAGCUUGCUCCUCUGACGUUAGCGGCGGACGGGUGAGUAACACGUGGAUAACCUACCUAUAAGACUGGGAUAACUUCGGGAAACCGGAGCUAAUACCGGAUAAUAUAUUGAACCGCAUGGUUCAAUAGUGAAAGACGGUUUUGCUGUCACUUAUAGAUGGAUCCGCGCCGCAUUAGCUAGUUGGUAAGGUAACGGCUUACCAAGGCAACGAUGCGUAGCCGACCUGAGAGAGUGAUCGGCCACACUGGAACUGAGACACGGUCCAGACUCCUACGGGAGGCAGCAGUAGGGAAUCUUCCGCAAUGGGCGGAAGCCUGACGGAGCAACGCCGCGUGAGUUAUGAAGGUCUUCGGAUCGUAAAACUCUGUUAUUAGGGAAGAACAAAUGUGUAAGUAACUAUGCACGUCUUGACGGUACCUAAUCAGAAAGCCACGGCUAACUACGUG
rnacentral:rRNA from 1 species